rnacentral:lncRNA from 1 species
UAAAUACGAGUUUUGUAGCUACACUGCACCAAUGUCUGAGUCUCAUUACUGUCUAGGCAACAAUAAUAUACUUCGCAAAGGAAAAAUAGAGCAAAAGAAGCUCUGAUGUCAAGCAAUGCUAUAUGUACACAAACAGCAAAAACAGCUACACAUACUAACACAAAUAACAAAAGCAAGACCCUGAACAUGAAAGAAAAAAAUGGUAGGGGGACGGAAUGAGUUUCCAUAUUUUUUACUUCUCUCAUUCAUGAUGAACAUGGAUUCAAAUCUGGAAAAAUAAAAACAAUGUGGUCCCCUGAGCAUGUAAUUUAAGGAAACAGCACCGAACCAGAUCCAUAUAUCAGGAGCCUGCAAUCAAAUCCUCUCUCAGCCAUCGUAGAUUCAUAGCUAGCUUCUUCUCAGUUACGAUCGAUGGGUUCGGUCCUGUCCUGUACUGCAAGCCGCUCAGAUACAUCAGCCAGAGACUUGAGGUUGCAUUUGAUGAGCGCUUCAACAAAGUAGCAGGUCUCGUCCUUGGUGUUCCCGUCUGGCACAUCCACCACGAACGAUUCGAUCACUAAUGUCCCCGGUCUGCCAUCGAGAAUCUCCGGGUGUAGGGGAACUAUUGAAGAAUAGUUCUGGUUCCAUACAUAAACAGAGAGCAAUUACUGUGUUAGACUGGUUCAGCUGAUAAGACAUGAUAUUAAAGCAUCCAACUUUCAGCCCGGUACAGUGCAUAAAACUCUAAUCUGCAACUUAUGGUUAAAAUUGUUCGAAUGAGAACUGCAGAAGAAGACGAGAUAGAUAGUAAAGUGAGAACCUUUAGUCUGUGAUCUCCGCCAACAAUGCGCAUACUGAGGAUAUGCUCCUCAUCAUCAAGAAGCUCUAAUCUUUCAGUACUUGUAGUAGCUGGAAGCCCUGAUUUGACAUCAAUCUCUCUAAGACUACCUAUCUCGAGAUUUCCACGAGCAACACAUCUGCUGAUGAAUGGCUUAUACUUCUGCGGUUGAUCGAAUCUCCUAACCAAGGACCAAACCUGCACAUUACAGAAUCAAAAACAGCUAUAACAUGAAUUUACAAGGUGGGGGAUUGAAGAACAACGGUUAAUCAACGCUGGAAACAUGCAAGUCAAGAUAUGUACAGAGUAAAGAAAAUAAGGAAGCUUGAUUCCAUGCCGCUAAGCAUUCAGUAUUUAAUGCAUGCUCUAAAAACUGAGAGAGAAAACUGUAAGCAAACGGAAAACACUACCACAGAGAAUUUUCCAAAAUAGCAAAGCAACUUUAACGGUUAUGCAUUCCAUUAAUGUACAAUCGCCAUUUCCGCUCUUGGUCAAUAGCAACAGAAGAAACGGAAAAAACUAUUCGAAGUUUCUCCGUCCUUAUCUUCUCGUCCUUCAGAGAAAGAGCAAAGCUAGACUGUAGAGCGACGAUGUGAACAAGAAGAAUACAGAACAAGGCAAUACCAAAUAGAUCAGCGAAAAAUCCGAUCGAAAUCAUCCUUCUGAAAAAUAAUCGAGGACCGCAAGAAUCUGGAUGGAAUCAAGAGACGAAACCUAGAAUACCAGCAGAAAUCGCCAAGAUACCUACCAAACGGAGCUCGGAAAUUCGAAACCUAACAUCUCUUACCAGAUGAACCGGAGCUUUGAUGUGCUUAAUGAGAACGGAGCUGCACUGAUUCUCGCCAGGAUCAUGCCUAUGGUGUCUCCUGAUGGACUCAGUCUCCAUGCUCCCUAGCCCCUUGGCAGUCGUGGUCGCCGCUCCAUUGCUACUAUCGAAAUUCAUCUUCGACGUCUCCUUUUUACCGUUCCUAUUUCCUUGAACCAAACGCAAAUACUCAGCUUCGUUUCCCUCCUUUUCCUCUCCUGCAGGCACAAGAAUCGUUAAGAGAGAUGUGAAGUGGUGUCAGUAGUAGUAGUAGUAGUCUGCUCCGUCGAUCGUAAUCUUUUUUCCUCCGGCGACGAUCACCGGGCAAGAGAAGUAGAUCUGUGUGUGUGCGCGUGAGUCACCGUAGUGGGAAGGAAAGAAGGAACUAACUGCCUCAGAGGAGAGGGAGAGACUCUCUCUAUCUAUCCACCCAUCCAAUUCCAAACAUCUCAUCGCUGCGAUAUUAUUAUUAUAAUACGAAAGAAAGCGAGAAAAGACAAACAACAAUUACAAUAAUAAGACCAAAAAAUAUCGUGAUUAAAAAAUUUCCAAUAAUAGUACCACUGACCAAUCUUGUUUUUCCCUAAUUAAUUAACGUUCCGAUGAAUUAAGCCUUCUUCUCCCGCGAAUUUACGCACUCGCCACUCCCCUUUUUUGUCCUCUUCUUUCCAGCUACCAUUGGAGGGAAUAAUAAGAUAUUCCAUUAUUUGAUGAUCGUCUCCAUAUUAAAAAUUAAAUAUAAUUACGAAUUUCCCCUCCCUAUUCACAUCCGCAUCCCUUUAUUAAAUUUUAAUCGAUCGAACCCUCCAAAUUUUGACGGUUUUAACAAACACACUCUUCCAUUCGAUUUUUCCAUUCAAAUUGUUACACAUGCAAUUGCGCGAUGAAAUUACACUAAGAGGUUUGGAGUGGUAAUAUGUAAAUGGGUAAAUUUUACACGUAUGAACUCGUAUAUUUAUGUGGUUUCUUAACCUGAUCAAGUACAUAGGCGGUCACUCAAGUUUGGAGUUUGUAAAAUCAUGGUCACUGAAGUUCUAAAUGUUCGCAACUAAGGUUUAUUUUGAGUAACCCAACUGCACUUUCGUCAAAUUCCAUUUCAUUUUUGUGAUGAUUCACAUCAACUGGAAGGAGGAGACGGAAGAUUGGAGGGCUAGACUCUUGAGGGGCGAAUACUGGAAGGUGAAGAACGGCGGAAAUUGACCUCGUUGAUCUGAUGUGAAUUAUGACGACUACUGUAAUGAAAUUCGACAUUAAUAUAUGGCACAACAUUUAAUUUGAAAUUUUCUACAUAAAGAUGAAAGUAAGAUAAAUGUCGAUUAUACAUGAGUGAUGAUUUUUAAUUAUACGAUUGAUAAUUUUAUAAGUAAAAAUCACCUAUCUUCUAAACUGACCAAACAACUAGAAAACUCAUACUUAGUUAUCAAUUAUCUUAUGAAAAACAGGUACAAAUGCCGUUAUUAAUAGGAUAACAAAAGGCCAUCAACUCCUGAAAUAAUAAGCAAUAAUACAAUAUAAAAGUCUUUUUGAGUAAAACUUAACUAUAAAGAGAACCACUAAAUAGAUUUGAUUUUGUGUUCUGACUCAUUUAUCUCGUUAUGUUUAGAUGAGUAUUUUUGAAAUUUAACUCAUAAUAUGAAUUAAAAUAUAAUUUUUCUCUCUUUCGCACAUCACUGACUUAGCUUUGGAACAAUUUCAGAGUCCUGGGAGAAAAUCAAGUUAAAAAUACAAAGAAAAUCAANNNNNNNNNNNNNNNNNNNNNNNNNNNNNNNNNNNNNNNNNNNNNNNNNNNNNNNNNNNNNNNNNNNNNNNNNNNNNNNNNNNNNNNNNNNNNNNNNNNNNNNNNNNNNNNNNNNNNNNNNNNNNNNNNNNNNNNNNNNNNNNNNNNNNNNNNNNNNNNNNNNNNNNNNNNNNNNNNNNNNNNNNNNNNNNNNNNNNNNNNNNNNNNNNNNNNNNNNNNNNNNNNNNNNNNNNNNNNNNNNNNNNNNNNNNNNNNNNNNNNNNNNNNNNNNNNNNNNNNNNNNNNNNNNNNNNNNNNNNNNNNNNNNNNNNNNNNNNNNNNNNNNNNNNNNNNNNNNNNNNNNNNNNNNNNNNNNNNNNNNNNNNNNNNNNNNNNNNNNNNNNNNNNNNNNNNNNNNNNNNNNNNNNNNNNNNNNNNNNNNNNNNNNNNNNNNNNNNNNNNNNNNNNNNNNNNNNNNNNNNNNNNNNNNNNNNNNNNNNNNNNNNNNNNNNNNNNNNNNNNNNNNNNNNNNNNNNNNNNNNNNNNNNNNNNNNNNNNNNNNNNNNNNNNNNNNNNNNNNNNNNNNNNNNNNNNNNNNNNNNNNNNNNNNNNNNNNNNNNNNNNNNNNNNNNNNNNNNNNNNNNNNNNNNNNNNNNNNNNNNNNNNNNNNNNNNNNNNNNNNNNNNNNNNNNNNNNNNNNNNNNNNNNNNNGAAAAUAUUUUCAGUAGAACUAUAAAAAUGAGAGGAUGUCAGAAAUUUUUAUAUAAUGUCAGUUGAAAGUUAAGAGAAUUUAUAUAUAUGAGUGAAUGUUAGGAUUUAGGAUUUCAUAAUUGAGUCUCGCAUCCUACCUUGCAUCAUCCAAAACAUCCAAUAGUUGUGUCAAAAAUAGACGGACUAAGGUACCCAUGUUGUGUGGCACAAUCUAAACUGUGUUAUUGUUUUUUUUUUUAAUUUGAAAUAAAUUCAUUAUUUCUAUUAAAUCAUAUUCACUAAAUAAAAGUCCACUCAUUUAAGAGGUAGUCCCAGUACUAAAAAUGAACCUAUUUAAAUUGUUAGCUCUAUCUACACAUAUGACUGUCCAAUCACAUCAUACUUAUCCAUAGAUACUAUUAUUCAACAUCAUAUAAAUAAAAAAGAAACUAUAUGAAAUUAAAGAGUCAGAUUAAGGAAAUUGAGCCGUUUGACUGAAAUAAAUAUUUAAACUAAAUAAUAAAUAUCGGUAUCGCUGAUGACUGAACAGCACAAAUGACAAACUUCUGGAAUGCUCACUGACAACUUUCAUUGGCCCCACAGGCCCCAAAGGAACCAAAGAGUCUUAACGUUUAUCCCCGUUGAAAUUUUGGUACCCAAUCUUUAAAAUCCGUCAUUUUGAUCCCAAAAAUAGUCUGAGCUGAGAGAAGCCGUGCACUGAAGGUAAGCUGCACGUGACGGAGGAAGAAGGGUUUCAAGCUGAAUAAAAUAUUUGCAAGUUGCAUGCCAAUUGCCAGCCAAUGGCAUUGAUUGCCAAUUUUAUUAUUAUUCUAACAAUCAAAAAGUCCCUUCUCACCGAGAAAAGAAAGAAGUGUAAAAUUCAUUUCUCCCACCACACAUGCGACCUACCGAAUUGGCCACUUGUACUCAGAUCUAGGAGUGGCCUGGUAUAGAUUUUUGUGAAACAACAAUGAAAUUAGAAUCGAAACAAACACUUAGUACGGCUUCAGUAAACACUGGUCAAAUUUAAAAAAAUCGUUAAAAUACAAUCAAAUGUAAUGUUUUGGAAGAAACUGGAGUGAGCCGAGGCUCACCCGAGCCCCUUUCCAGUUCCGCCCUUGUUGAGAAAUAUAGGAUGUCAUGAAGAGUUGAAUUGAGGUUUGCACAGUUUCAGUAACUCCUUUCAAUGGAUUGUGGGCUAUGUAUAUGAAGAGCUCUCGAUCUUUUCAGACUCUGCUAUCAUAUUAAAAAUAGUUGCAUCUCAAUAACUAAAUUUUUUACGAGAGAGUCCAUAUUGAUCUUUAUAUUAAUGUUCAUAUCAACAAUAUGAGAAUCGAAAAAAUAUGUAAAAGUAUUUCAAACAAGCUGGUGAAGGUUAGAUUAUCUUGUCUGGUAUAUAUAUUUCGUAGACAAAAGAAAUUGGGAAGUCAAUGAGACCCACAUUUUAUAUGAGAGAGUCAGAAUUAGAAAUUCUCAUAGUAUACAAACCAACGACAAAUGAUAACUCUAUGUUUCUGGAAUCAAUGUACUAAGGAGUCUUUUUUCCAGCGAAUCAAGGUAAAUGUCAUUAAUGAAUCAGAGUGCAUAAAGAGGCAUCAACAUCAUAAAGCUAGUCUGUAGUAGCGUCUCUUAUAAUAAUAUAUGUAAGAAAACAUAAACUACAUGCAAGCUCGUGGGCAACUCCAUUCUUAAUUUUCUUACCAAAAAUCAAUAGAUUAUUAGAAAAGAAAAGGAAAAACAUUGUCGUACGAGACAAACUUUAUAGCAGCAUCAUGCCACGUCGUUGUGUUGUAGCGCUCGACAGCCUGACAUCCAAGAGCUUAACAAGUUGCGACGAUGUUCAUCUUAAAGAUUGUGAUCGAGAAACCAAGUGAUCGUGAUCAUCCCAUAUAUAGUUGUUUGUUAUAGGGAAAAUAUAGUUAUUUUUGUGAGGAAUUUUGUAUUUUGAAAAACACCUUGUUUGCGUAGUGAGUAGUGACUGAUAAUGCUGAGUUUUUGUGUUUCAGAAAUACGAAAUUUUUGCUUAUUGAUGACACUCGAUUUGUUGUGUUCAUCGCCCUUAUUUAAGCGACAUUUCAUGCAUAUUCGUAUAGUUUUGGGUAGAAGUCUAGGGUGUUUCAUGCAUUUCUAACUUCUAUCUCCAUUUAGUGUCUCGAACUCGUUCGGGGUCCAUUUGAUGUUACUUCGUAGUAGUUUUGAUCGAUUUUAGGCACACAACGACGUCGGGGCACUAUUCGGAACUGUAUGACGUGCAAAGAGGAGCUAAAUGCAUCAAAUAAUGAAUAAAUCAUGAAGUUAAGGUGAUAUGCAUUGUUUGAGGACAAGCAUGAACUAAGACCGAUGAUUUAAGUUGCUCGGAACGGAUGGUUGCUGAAAUUCAAGGGGAACACGACACGCCCGUGUCCUUUUCACUUGAAUUUAUGGCCGAGAAGUUAAUUUCAUUGAACACGACUGUGUCCCCAGAGAACACGGCGUAUUCCUCAAGGACACGGCUGUGUCCUUUUCUCUGGAACUUUCAGACCAAGAAGCGAUUUUUAGAGAACACGCAUGUGUCCUUUAGGAACACGAUGUGUUCCUUCUCCAGACGGGUUUUCUCAGCAAUUUUCCUUCUCCAAUUGGGAAUAGACGAUGUAAAUACCCGGGUUCUCCCUCACUCAAAGACAGACUUUCUUUGGACGAAAUUUAGAAAGAAAUUCAAAGAUUCGAGAGCAACAAGAAUACGACUUCAAAGAGUUCGGGAUCGGUGAAAUAAUCAAAACGGCGAAUCAAGUUCUCGAGAAGAUCGGCGAGAUUAGGUUUUUCAUAAUUUUUUGUGUAAACCUAGAAUCAAUGUCUUCCUCUUCUCUUACUUAGAUUAGACAAACCGUAAGUUAAUUUCUAAACUUAUUUAAAUUGUAAAAUUUAUCUGUCUUUUAGGAAUUAGAAUUGUUUAGAGGAUUCGACAUUUAAAGCAGUUUUAUUUUUGAUUGUCUAAACUUAUAUCGUGCAGUCUUGCAACCCGUUUACUUUUAAGCAAUUUUCAUCUUUCAUUUUGACUGUUUAAUUAAUCCUCGUGGCACUUAAACCACGUUACUUAAUACUUCGAUUAAUAUUAAUUAUAACUUUAAGUAAAAUACUUUAAAAAACUAUAAAAUUCAACUCAAUUAAUUUAUUAACCAAUUUAUUUUUAAACGAUUAAAAUCAGUUCAUUACUAUCUCUAUUUAGAAACUCAAACUUCCUCCAAAAAAUCAACAAGUCUCGUAACUGUCGGAUGUGUCUUAUUAAAGGGGUAACAGAUAUUUCACAUUGUUUAGUAAACGGCCGGUGAAUAGUUUAAACAACUGUAAAUUAUUAUGUGGAAAAGGAAUAUUUAGUAGUCAAUAAACAUUUUUAAAAUAAUAAUGUAAUUUUCUAUUUAUAGCAUCUUUCCACACGUCAUAACUCUUUUAGUCCCUAGACCUUUUGCUUUUUAUAGCAACUAGGUGUGACAGGUUUCAUGUGUGAUAACUUUGUAACUAAGUUAUUCUUUAAAAAUUAAUUGGCUAAAAUUCACAUUAGGAAAUUAAUUAGCUAAGGUUCAUAUUAGCAAAUUAAUUAGUAACAUAAAAAAAACAGAUGAGGCCGUGGGGCAAGCGGCAAGAAUGCAUACACCUAUCAAUCAAGUCGUCCCCUUAGACGACCUGGUUUAGGAUUUACAUUAACAAUUUACUAUAACCUCGUAGUGGUGAGUACAUUUUAUGGAAAAAUGAUAAAAAUUCGUACAAGCAUACACUUGGUCAAUACCUUGUGAAGUGAUUAGCUACGUGGAGCCACGCAGUUUCGUCCACUAGCUAUUUAAUACCUAAGCGCGAUUGAAGAGGUAGCUUCUCUAGAAAAAAAUUUUACGGGUUUGGUGCCUUUGCCUCAUUCGAAAUAUCCAUAAAGGGAGCUAGAUAUUUUAGUUUCUCGCAUAUACCUUUUUUGUCCGUAAUGUUUUUGAUUUUAUUGAUUGGCUUAUAUCAUCCGACUAUUGAAUUUAAAUAUCCGACGAGCCAUUCAAUAUUGUGUUAACCGAGUUACGGACCGAAUGAAAAUGUUUCAGAUAAUUAAGCUUUUGGAGCCGUUAAUACAAGUACCAACCUGACCUUAUAUCAAUGUCAAAAAUAAACCUGACCUUUUAAUCUAUAAAUUGGAAAAAAAAACUGAUUUUGCAAAUUAAGUCUACUGGAUAUUCAUAUGAAAUUUGUCGGCAGUAGCUGCGGAAAACGAAAGGCAAAGAACCAAUUGUCAAUACAAAAGAAGGAAUUAAUGUAAAAACAAAAGUAAUUAUGUAGAACAAAAAAAAACAAAAAGGAACAAUAAAAAAAAUAAUUUCAGAUCUCGAGAUAUCUCUUUGAGCCAAUAGUAAUGCGAAAUUAGAUUUUUGUAGUUCCCAUGAAACAUAGAAAUAUAAAAUAGUGUAUUUUAAUGUAGAUAAACAAAAAGUUUUUUUCUCGAUUACUAAGACCGAGUUGAAGGGCGAUCUUGUAUUAGGAUUUUAGGUUAGUUUUGGAGAGAGAUUAAUAUAAAGUAUAAAUUCUUUUUGAUUUUCGAUAUAUAAUCAAAUUUCUCUUCAAAUAAUUGGGCACGUCGAUCACUCAUAUGUUAGUUACUUCAUUACGCUUAUGAUUUUCUUCGACGAGAUUGGAAGGUACAAAUUGUUCACGUGGAUCGUAAGAGUAACUAUGUUGCAGACUUUUUAACCGAUAAUUCAAAGAUUACUCUUUGUCACUGGGUCUCCAUCACAUCAAGCUUAACAAUUCAUCUUUUUUUGUAAAAUUAGGAGCCGAUAUAGGGGAAGCUCGAGAAAGCCACGACUCAGAGUAAUUUCGACCCUAAGCCUUAAAUUCACAUAUAUUUUUUUUUUUCGAGUUCGGCUCAAUUUAUUAUUGUUUCUCGGUACUCAAUACAUAUCAAUCAUCAUUUCGGCUUAGUAUUUGCAUUUAUUAUUGCUUGGUUUGGGAAAAAGUCGUUGGUAGCACAUUCAAUUUUUAAGGACAACUUGCUUUAACUAGAAAUAACAUAACGAAUGUGUUUUUUCUAUUUUAACUUAGUAUUAUGUUUAAAAUAUUCAUAAAUUGGUUACUAAAAUACCUAAAUUUUAAUUUAAAUUCGACUCAUUAUAUAUUUCGAUUCUAAAUCCUCCACUGAAAUCAUAUCCGCAUCAUCCCCUAUAUCUCUUUCAUUCACAAUCAAUUAAUCUCUCUUAUUAAUUAGUUGAUGGGUGACUUAUUAGGUAUUUCUGAAAAAACCCCAUAAUAAUUAUAAUAAAAAAGCCCACAAUUUACAAAAAAAACAUUAAUGGGACCACAUAGAAGAUAAAGAGUUAAUUAAGCCUUUGCAUGCAUAUCCUGGAGGUCACUUUCACAUCCUUUUAAAGCAAAACAGUAAUAUCUAAAUGAACAUUUGGGAGCCAGCCAAUGUGCUUCUACGUUGUUGUCGAUCAAUAAUUGGUCCUUUUAUAUACCCCAAAAACCCCUAUGUGUAGGAGAGGCACAAACUUAGUGGGUUCUACAAUGUGCCAUCAUCGAGAUUUUCACGACUUUGAUGAUUUCGAUUUUUGAAAACACGACAUUAUGUUGUAUUAAAAAGUGUCUACAAAAAGAAUCCCUUCUCGAACUAUUACAUCCUUAUCCAUAUAAUUUUGAUAAUCCCGGGAUAGUUUCUACUGCUCGAGUACCUGGGUAGUGUGCUUGGUCGAAACUAGAAAAAUGUAAAAGAGGAAAUGGCUAAUUGUGAGGAAACCAGGGUGGGGGAGAAUUGGAUUCAUCUUGAAAUGGGAGUUCCACCAAUUAGGCAAGGGAGUACUUGACAACUUUAGGAGGACCUUGUCUCAUCUUUCGUCACUCGUUGUUGUUGGCUAGCAUGUGUGACCUUUCCCUUUCAUGUUUGGUUUUUUUGGAUUUUGUUAGUGUUGGAAAAUGGAUGGUUUUGUCUCGCUAAGAGUAUCGGUGGGUUAAAUAAUGUGUUUUUGUAAGAUGAUUAUGUAUCCAUGUUAUACUAUAUAAAAAAUUUAGAAUUAGUUAUAAUUCGUUUAAAAUGGGUUUAAGGUAAAUGAUACAUUGUAUCUCAAAGAAGAAUAAAGUGACAUGUUUGUUUCAUACAACAUUAUUUAACAAAAAACUUUACCAGAGAAAAUAUUAUGUAUAAAUAUUGAGCUACUCUAUAAUUUUAAAACAUAUUUGAAUUAAACUGUGUUUUGCCGUAGGAAAUGGUAAAGAUCAAUUGUUACGGGAAAAAUUGAGACCAAAUCAAUCAAAUAAUAAAAAACAAUAUAUAAGAAGUCUAAACAUAUAUAUAAGUAACGAAUAUUGAAUUUUUAUAAUUGCAUAUAAUAAGNNNNNNNNNNNNNNNNNNNNNNNNNNNNNNNNNNNNNNNNNNNNNNNNNNNNNGAUUUGUCACAUUUAUCGUCCUUAUUUAAGUGAUAUUCCAUGUAUAAUUUUAUUGAUUUAGAUAGAAGUUUAGGAUGUUUUAUGCAUUUUUAGCUUUUAUCUCGAUUUAAUGUCUCGGACCUGAUCAAGAUCCAUUUGAUGUCGUUUUAGAGUGUUUUUAUAGAUUUAAGGUACAUGAUGAUAUCAAGGCAUUAAUCAGAGGAAUACAAUGUGUGUGGAUGGUCUAGCAAAAGUAAUGAGAAACAUUUUGAAUCUUCAAGGAGUUUGGAUUUCGACUUGGUCGGAAAAAAUCGCUGUUUAGUAUUUUAGACAUAUCUCCUAGCUCAGAAGUCCGAUUGAUAAAAGGCCGACGACGUUGGAAAGAUAGUUAAAUUUUAUACACGUUUAGAGUUCGGAGGUUUCUGUAAAUUAGGCCAAAAGUGCGCCGUAAAAUGACCAAAAGUGCGUGACGUACUUUUGGUCCGUGUACAGUGCACUUUUGGUAGUCAGUCAGGCUUAAGGAACCCUUCUCUAUAAAAGCCCAGCUCUCCCUCAUAAUUCAAAGACCUUGGGGGGGGGGGGGGAGCGGGGGGGGGGGGAGAAAAAUAGAGAGAUUUCAUAGACUUCGUAGCGACGGGAAGACAUCGAAUUCAAGGAGCUUCGAUCAGAAGACAUAGUUAAGAUUGAAAGAUCGAUACCUUUCAAGUGGCUUGGAGAAGAUUGAGAAUUUGAGCAAGAUACUCAAGUUAUUCCAUCAUCUGCUUCAACUACUACUCGACACUCAACUCUUCACCAUGAAGAAAAUGAUGGCGUUCAAGGAAGUGCUUAGUUGGACCGCAUAAACUUCCAAGUAUCGUCUAGCUCAAAGACGUUAAAGAAAGAGCGCUUCAUGGGAGGCAACCCAUGUCUGGAGUUAGUAUUUUUCAUUUUCUUUGACUCGGUAUUUUUGCAUUUCUUUGCAUGAUUAGGUGUUAGAUAGAGUAUAGAACGAUUUACUCUGUGUCCUAUUUUGAAUCGUGACCUACUGGAGUUAAAAUUUUGAGACUAAAUUUUUUGAGGUUUUGUGACAAAAAAUGCGCUAUAGACAGACCAAAAGUGUGUGGUGCGCUUUUAGUCCUCGUUAGCGCACUUUUGGUGCUUUUUGAUAAAAUCAAUCUCUAUAAAUUAUACCAAAAAUGCGCCUUAGUAUACCAAAAAUGUGCGACGCAAUUUUGGUAUAUCUUUGGCGCACUUUUGGUCUAUUAUCGUGACCUUUUCAGCAGAAGCAAAACCGUCGUCAUAAAAAGAAAAUUCACGACUCUCUUUUCUUCAAAACAAUAUGAUCCAUCUACUUAGUGUCCUUCUUUAUUUCUCUUUGGAUCUUAAAUUCAUUUUAUUAUGUAUGGGACUUAGACAGUUGUCCUAGUCCCUCUUUACUUUUGUUUUUGGUUUUGUGUGUUUGAGUCUCUUUUCAGGAGUUAGCAUCACAGCCGAGUUCGAGCUUCAUGGAUCAUGCAUCUUGCCUCUUCGGAUUUCUCACGGCUUCCAAGUAUUCCUAUGCAACUUUUCCGUUUCGUUCAGUGAGGACAUUGACCAAACUAAGUGUGGGGGUGAGUUUGCAUAGGAUUCUUGUUAGCUAGUCUUGAUGGAUAGUUUUCUUGCAUAUUAGUCCUAAACUUAAGCUUGUCGAGACCAUCUUUGAAUCAAUUACUUGACAUUCUUAGAAUCCUUCCCUAUGAUUUAUGCACUUGAAUUAUUGAUUAACUUGUAAACCUAGAUUUGAUAUGAGUAUUGAUCAAUGAUCAAAGCCUAUUGAUUCAUUCUUUAGAGUUACUUUGAUGUGUUUAAAAUAGCACGGACUCUCCAAAUUGAUGUGACCGGGCAUGCAUGUUAUUGAAUUUCCAUCUAGCAAAACAAUGUGAGACUGAAAAGACUAUUUGUAGUGUAGAUUAUCUGCUUCAUUAGUAGAUUUGUUCUUAAAAAUUGAUUUGAGUGGUCUUCUCUGUUUGUUGUUAAUCCGACACUUGCAUGAUACCAAUCUGAAUUCACUAGAAUAAUAAAGGCACUUAGAAAAGAUCCACCACAAAAUAUCCAUCUCGUCCUUAUAUUUUCCCUAGAUAACCCAAUCAUAGCCAAAUAGCCUUUUUCAUACCCCCAUAAUAUUGUAUCCCCUUUCUUUCAAACCUUCGUUUGGUCAUGUGUACAUUAGUGGCAUGUAACUUGAUCGAGUCUAGGAGUUAAUAAAGUUGCUUAAUUGAAUCUAAUGCAUGAUUAUAUAGUUUUCCUUAAUUUUCUUAAUCUAUUGUUGCAAUUUCGAAAAAGAUGAGAAAAGAAGAUUUUGAAAAUCUUGAAAAAAGGAAGGAGACAAGUAAAAAAAAUCCAGUCUCGAUAUAAGAAAAUUGAAAAGAUAAAAAAGAAGACCAAAAGGUCUCGAGUUAGUGGAAUAAACAAGCAAAAAAGCUCAAAGUAGUGGUUUUUGAAUAAGGGAUAGACGAGCUAGUUGAAGCUCUUGGUAGUAGUAGAUCCUUGCAUAGUGUUGUUUUUGAUUCGUGACUUAAACUCCAUAUUAGAGUAGACCGAGUCGCUGUCACUAUGUACACCCACCACCAAAGUCAUUCCACCUUAUUUUCUCUUUUUUGUCGACAUUACAACUCCGAAUAAAAGACCUCUUGAUUAGUGCUUUAUGUGUCUUGAUGUGAUGAGUAAAGGUAGGAUGAAAUCCAAGUGUUGGAAGCGCACCUCAGAGUUGAUGAUGAGCGCAUAAACACUGUCCCUAUACACUGUGAGUGAGUUCGUUAUUGGCUUCGGCUUUAAGCCGAUUUUGUCCUUGAGAGUAAGUCUAGAUUGGUUGGUGUAACACGUGUGAUGAUGACUGGCAAGUUGGGGAACUUCUUGCGAGACCUUUACAUCCUAUUUCGGUUUAAUUUUAAGAUUCACUUGUUUGUUAAGCAAUUUAGGGGCAUUGAGGAUUAUGGAUUUUCUUUGCUAUGUUGGUAGUUGAUUUGAUUAUAGGCGUGUUCCAUGGCUUGUAUCAGCUUUUUGCUUGACGACAAGCAAAACUUAACUGUUGAGGUAUUUGAUGACGCUAGAUUUCUCACAUUUAUCGCCCUCAUUUAAGUGAAAUAGCAUAAUUGUACUGCUUUAGGUAGAAGUUAGGAUGUUUAUGCAUUUUAAACUUUUAUCUCAAUUCAGUGUCUCAGAACCGGUCGAGUCCAUUUGAUGUAGUUUGAAGUGUUUUUUUAUAGAUUUCAGGUACAUGACGAUAUUGAGGCAUUAAUCGGAGCAAUACAGUGUGUGUGGAUGGUCUAGGAAAAGCAAUGAGAAACAUUUUGAAUAUUCAAGGAGCUUGGGUUUCGCCUUAGUCGAAAAAAUCGCAGUUUCGUAUUUUGGACAUAUCUCGUAACUCAGAAGUCCGAUUGAUUGAAGGCAGGCGAUGUUGGAAAGAUAGUUCAAUUUUAUACAACUUUCGAGUUCAGAGGUUUCUAUAAAUUAAACCAAAAGUGCGCCGUAAAAUGACCAAAAGUGUGCGGCGCACUUUUGGUAUGUGUACAACGCACUUUUGGUAGUUCUUCAGGAUUAAGGAAUCCUUAUCUAUAAAAGUCCAACUCUCUCUUAUCUAGAACAUCGAAAUUAAUCAACUAGAUUAAGCGUUAACCCUCAUCCGGGAAUGAAUAAACUAGUUCGUUGUGUGAGCAGUUCUUGUUUGUUUUGUCGCCUAGCGGAUUUUAGAUCUUUGUCUCAAAAGAGCGAACUGGGAUAGUAGAUAAGUAGCAAAUUAGCGGACCCGAAAAUGCGUGAUUUGAUUAGAGAAGAACUGCGACGGUCAAUUGAGUCUAUCUUGUUUUGCUUAACUCUUGGAUUUGUCUGUUGUUUGUGAAUUUGGAUAGCCUAGGGGGAUUCAAAGUGUAAGCCGUUUUAUCCCAUUUGGUUCAAACUUGAUAUCGUGCAGUCUUGCAGCCUUGUGUUAUUUUCCCUGUUAUUUGCAUUGUUAGAAUAAUUGAUAAGAGUUGGAAAUUCGUAGAACCUACACCACAAAACCUGUUGAAUCGAUUACCACUUUUCAUAACUUUGAGUAGUCACGACAUUGAGACCCUAGGAAAAUUCAACUUUAGUUAAUUCGUUAACUAGAUUUAUCUUGAAACACAUAAAAACAUUUAUCACUCACCCGUAUCAUGCAAUACUAUUGAAUUAAUAGUAAAAAACUUGCUACUAUUAUAUAUAGAACUUUCUAUUCCACAAGUUUUUUCUUCCAAAUUAUAUUCUUACAUAGUUUUUGAACUUACAAUUCCAUACUACCAUAGGCAGAGCUGGAACGGGGAUUCCCAGACUCCAAUGUGUAGUUUUACUGGCACAAUAUAUAAUUUUUUUAUAAAUGUCAUAAUGAAAAUUGGUCUCAACCUAUAACCCAUACAAUGCAACUCAUUUUUUGAUGAAAAUUUGAGUUUUUAACGUUUGUCAUAAUUAUAACCUUUUUCCCAAUAGGGCCAAUAUUGUCCUAAUCAGUUUUGGCUCCGUCAAUGAACACUACUAUGAUUAAAGGAAUGGAGAAUGUAUUCAAGUGUACAUCUAAAUGGAGUAGCACAAUCAAUAACGUUACAUAAUAACAACUUGAUCGAAAAUACCUAAUUCAUAUCCAACCAACCCACAAAUAUUUAUUUUAGUUCUAUCCUACAUUUUCUAUCGAGAAAAGGUGCGUUAUGUUUGUGUGGAUUCCAAGGAAGAGGAAGAAGCUGAGGUGGUGGUGGGGCUCCUUAAUUCCCACCUUAUCGUCUUCUCUGCAAUUGCAGGACUGUGUUCUGAGUCCUGCACAGGCAAGUGGGUAAAGAGCAGGACCAAAUUCGUCCAAUAGGAAUGAUGCUCCGUGAGACAAAAAGAUAGAGCGAAAAUGGACCAAUCCCACUUCUGCAAUUCCUCCAUUUUUGUAAUAUUACUUUUCCCGACCAAGAUGAACUGAAAAAGAGGUGGCGUUCAUAAGUGGUUGGAGGCAAUGUAGUCUGAACUUGGCUGGGGGGAAAUCCCGACACUUGUCGCUUCACAGGGAGAAUCCAUGUGUCCCAAUGGCGAAAUUCGAACGAAUCAAGUUAGGCCACCGUUCAAGGUCUACUCAUUCAAAAUGAUAAAAUUCUAUGUGAAAAAUUUUUGAGAUCAAAAUUUAUAUCAAUUUAUAUAUAUAUAUAUAUCUUUAAAUUUGAAUUUCCAUCCAAAACUUGGAAUAAUUUUGAUUUCGUUAUUGAUGUAUAUCGUGGGAGAGAAAGUACUCGAGGGAGAUAUGACUUAACCCGAGCAUACAUAGUAAAUUCAUGGUGGCCACCCAUUAUGGUUAUUGUAUUUUCUUCCAUGGGAGUAAUUAAUUUUUGAAUGGAAAUAGUUAGAAAUCGACAUACUGUAAAAAGAACGAAAUAAAUCAAAAUAAACAAUAUAAACGGGUUUAAGUGGAAAAUUUUUAUUGGGAAAAAAUUUGGCUGCACUACAGCGACAAAAGUUCAGUUAUUAUGAUUAGAUAGUUACAACUAACUCGUAGGAACUUAAAAUAAUUCAUAUAUCUCAUACGAGUAAACAAAAUGUAUUAUAUAUGUUAUAUGCCGAGAUCAAGUACGUAAUGAUGGGACUCCGAUCGCUACAAAAACGUCAUCCCAAGAUGUUUCAAAGGAUUCCUCGGAUGUCAUGUAGAUGUUGCGGCUUGAUCGCUUGGAGCUUGUCCAGGUGAAUGGAGUCUGGAGACGUAGCAAAAAUUGGAAAGGACAACAAAAUUCUGAGUUUUUGUUGAUUUCAUGAUCCUAUCUUUCCAUGAGUAAAACAAAUGUUUUCAUUGACGAGUAUGCUCAUAUCAUCAAGUACACAUAGCGCUUAAUGCCAUAGAGUUGGAGUUUGGAAAACCCAUUUACUGUGGAACAAAAAAAAUUAAACAAAUACAAUUGAAUAAAGAGACCCCAAUUAGCAAAAAUCAAAGAACAUGCAAACAAAGAGAUGAUGUAGGGGAUGUCAUGAGAAGGUGGAGAUCUACAUCAAAUUUCAUAUGAACAUCUAUAACUUUAUUCUAAAACAAUGGAUUAAAAAAUGAUGAACUUUUGUGGGGUGAAAUUAAGAACAAAAGUACUUAGUGGGUUCUGCAGGUGUACGAAUGUCACUAAAUCAAAUGAAUGAUCAACACUAAACACAAUGUCAUUAGUAGAUGCCGCGUUAAGCCCAAACAAAAAUUAAAGGGCACUCGAACUCAGAAAUGCAUAACAUGGAUGCAUCCACUUCACCAGUAUAUAUUAUAGUCAAUCAGACAGAUGUAUAAAUAUCUCAUCACACUAUCUAAUAAGCAUAUAUGCUCAUAAGAAUGGUGCAUAAAUAACUAGUUACAAUAGUAAGUAAAAGUUAUUCAACGAUUUAUGCAGUGAAAAUUACGAUCAAAACCCUAUUCAGGAGUAGCUCUAAAUUACCGUACCAACAAUCAAACGAAAGUGAAAUAAAGAACAUACUUGAUUUGGUGAUUUAGUUCGGAGUUACUCUACCCUGCAGAGUUUCAAGAGGGGAGAUUCGGUCUGAAAUUGCACUAAAAUCAUAAAAGAGAAUAUAGAAUAAAUAAAUACAUGAAAUGACCCAUAAAGCACCCAAAAACACAAAACCAGAUUCGUGCAACAACGAGUGAACAAGGAAGAAGAAUGGUACACGGAGAAACAGUCUUCCUUGAGGUAACAUAGCAGCAUUCGAGGCUUCGAUACUUAAUGGAAAAAACAUUAGACGCUACGAUAAUGAUCCAUCACGGCAACCCGAUAACCACAAACCCUUAGUAAAUCUCUAGUACGCUCUCACUUUCACUCAAUAAUGAGUUCAAGGUGAGCCAAACAACUAGUUUUUAUAGUCGAUCGUGUAAUUAAAUACUUUCGAUUUUUAAUAUAAAUACAUUGUAAAUUUCAUUAAUAACCACAAAAUUCUUUUGAUAAAUUGUAUCGUCGGGUUCAGGCCUAAUUCUAAUCGUUCUUCAGUACUAAACAAUUAAGUCCAAUAUGGCCGAAAGCCCAAAAAAUACGCAAUCUUAUCCAUUCUCAUUUCUCAAGUCAUUAGUGUGAUAGGAAAGAAACAUCUCUCCGUAGGCCGCAACAGCAUUUAAGAGGAGUUGUUAUGGUGGUAGAAUUAUGUGUCUGGUUUAUUUAAAGGUUUUGAAAUCGAAUCUAACAUACCUUACAAAUAAACACCAAUAUAUAUUAUUUAUUUUCUGUCUUCUAUCUAAUAUUAACAAAUAUCAUAUACUUUAAGUGAAAAUUUAUACAUACAUCUAAAUUACUUUCAAAUAUAUUAUCGUAAUGAUUAAUUCCAAACAUCCCAACUAGCCAAAAAUCCAUAAAUCAAAUUCUCAAUAGUCAAUGCUAAGUCUAAUUUAGUAACAAAAAAUAAUCAUCAAGCUUGGAGUAAAUGGUAAACCCCAUAGAGGUAAACUAGAGACCAACACUUCAACAUUAGUUCAAUGGCUCUGGUAGGAUAGUAAAUUAAUCUAGUAUAUGUACUACUAAUUAUUCAUGUAAGAGGAUUGACCAUCGAUCCAGCGAAGAUGACAAUCUUACUUUGUUUCUCCAUUAUCAAGAAUAUGAAAGGAUGGUCUGGAAUAAAAUCAUCCACCGAUUGUUUAAACUUUGGUGAACCAGUUGACAUUUGUCCCCAAGAGGCUACGGAAGCAGCUGCAGCCACCGUACCUAUCCCAUCCAUCUGAAUAGAAGUACUCUGAAUUAUCUUAGAAAUAGCCAUUGACGGUAUCUUAUUACAGGGCUGGCAAAACAUCUUGACGAAAUCCCCAGCGGACUCGAAAGGCAAUGUGAGCCCCAACUUCUGCAUCGACUCCUUUGGCUCGCACCGGAGGGAGAAUUUCCACUUGGGGAUGGGCACUUUUCCCAUGUAUUGUCUCUCAAGCUUACCAAGUGUUUGUGAAAAUACCUCACCAGGAUUCGAGCUGCCGAAGUGCUUGCGUAGCAUGUGAGGAAGCCCUUCCUGUUCCCGGGGAAGGAAGAUGAACAUGGAGAAUUGAGGGUAUGUUUUAUCGCUUAGGGAACUCAACGGUUCAUAGGGGAGCUUGAGGACCUUGAAAUCCGAAACUCAGCAUAAUGUAGGUUGAAUUCCAAGUUGUUCAUAAAGGGGACAGUGACCUCGUUGGUUCCAUUGAGGAGGUGGAAUACAUCAUCAGAUGUGUCAGAGGGCCAGAAGAAGCCAUGAGGGAACUAGCCUUUGAAGUAAAGGGCGUUCGCCAGAAUUAUCAUUGUGGAAGGGUUAAUGUUUUGAGAGGAUGAUGUUGUCGAUGCAUCCUUUGGUUGAUUCUUCGGCCCAUGCGUUGAUUUCCUUCACUGCUUCCUCAGGCUGGAAAAUCAACAUCGAAGGAUGUGAGCGUAUUGUUUAAAUCGAUCGCUAAACAAUUGAAUCUAUCCGGGGGAUUCGAUAUGUUCUAAUACGAACCUGGAAAUGAAAAUCAGCAGCCUUAGUGUCGGCCUGGUAGAUAUCACUAAUCAUCUUCUUGAAUGAUUCAAUUAAGGAAUAUUUUCGGUCCACCAAAACAGCAUUGGCGUGGUUUACAAUUGGUGGCUGCAGAUUCAGAAAACGGGCGAAGGGUUCGUUGUUUUCCACCAGUAUGGCUUGAUGCAAGGCUUGCAUGGUUGUCGAAGCUUUGGAAUUGAAAUCUUCGAUGUCUUGGGCUCCAAGAAAACUUAGCAACUGGUCUAGAGUUGGCCUGUCCGCUUCGCAUGCCACCAUACGGAGAAAGAUGUCGAAUGAUGCGGGAGACAUCACAACAUUUUCUGGUAAGACGACACCAUCUCCGAGUUUGUGGAGAAUUGUCUCUAUAGCUACGCGGAUUGAGAAGUCCAUUGUUUUAAUUUCUUAAUAUUGCUGAUUUUUUCUGUCGGCUCUCAACUCCAAGGGAAGCCUGCGUACGAUUUACUUGAUCCCUAAUGAGUCUGAGCUUAUAUAUAUAUAUAUAUAUAUAUANNNNNNNNNNNNNNNNNNNNNNNNNNNNNNNNNNNNNNNNNNNNNNNNNNNNNNNNNNNNNNNNNNNNNNNNNNNNNNNNNNNNNNNNNNNNNNNNNNNNNNNNNNNNNNNNNNNNNNNNNNAUUAAGGAGUUGAGAAUUAAUAUUAAAUUUUUUAUUUAAACGAAUUAAUUAGGAUUGGAAUGAAAUCUGGGAUGGGCGUUGGUAUCUAAAUUCGUACUCUACGGGUAUUCUAUUCGGAACACAAGUACCCAUAACCCCAUACUGGUACACAUUUGAUGCCUUAGGCAUUGUUUUUCACUUGAAAUUUUAAGUUAGGGGGAAAUUCACAAUUCCUCUAAAAUUAUAAUUGAGGGGAGAUUGUAAAUUUUCGAAUUUAAUUUUCUUGUUUUUCGUGUAGAAUGUCUAAUCAAAAUUAAUUUUUUUUAGCCUUUUUUGUUUAGAAUGUGUAGGUGAUCUUGUCCUUUGAAUCAGGACAGGUACCUUAGGGUUGGGAGGAUAGCCGGACGAGAGUCUUUCACAUUCGACGAGUCCAUUGUUGAAUAGUCAUCUUCGAGAUCACGAGGCUUAUCCCCGUACAAAUUUAUUAAGAUUACAAAUUUAUUAAGAUUGGCGUAGACGGUGAACCCCAUAAAGGUAAACUAGAAAUGAAAAAUUCAACAUUAGUUCAAUGGCUUUGGUAGGCUAGUAACUAAUCUAGUAUACUAAUUAUCAUGGAAGGGGAUUGACCACCGAUCCAGCAAAGAGUACAGUAUUGCUCUGUUUCUCCAUUAUCAAGAACAUGAAAGGAUGGUCUACAAUAAAAUCAUCCACCGGUCGUCUUCUUCUCUGCCCCGAUGGAUACAGAGACAGCUGCAGCCACCGUACUGAAUAUAAGCACUCUGAAUUAUCUUAGAGAUAGUCAUCUACGGUAUCUCAUCAUGGCACUGGCAAAAUAUCUUGGUGAAAUCUCGUUUGAACUUGAACGACAAUGUGAGCCCCAACUUCUGCAUCAUCUUUUUUCGGCUCACACCUGAGGGAGAAUUUCCACUUGGGGAUGUGCACUUUUCCCAUGUUUUUCCUCUCAAGCCUACCAAGUGUUUGUGAAAAUGCCUCACCGGGAUUUGAGCUGCCAAAGUGCCUCUGUAGCAUGUGAGGAAGCCCGUCCCGCUCCCGAGGCAGGAAGAUGUACAUGGAGAAUUCGGGGUACUUUUGAUCUACUAACAACGAUUCAUAGGGGAGCUCGAGGACCUUGAAAUCAUCGAAACUCACAUAGUAUAGACUGAGUCCGAAGUUGUUCAUGAAGGGAACAGUGACCUUCUUGGUUCCGUUGAUGAGGAGAAUUGAAGCGCGGAUUUUACCCCGCUAAUCAAAUACCCAUUAGAAUGAACUAAUGGAAUCGUAUUUCCAUAGGAUCUUUCUAACAAUAUUACUCAACUUGAUUAUGCUAACUAAACCAAGUAACAGUGAAUGAUUGGUUGUUUUUAUGUUGGUGUAUCAAACUAUCAACUAAUGACUGAAAUAAAACAAAUCAAAAUGCAAGAAGUUGAGUUUCAAAGGUUGGAUGAAGGUUGUUCGGACUCGAAUCCACAAUAGCUAGAAAUGCAUGGAUGAACGAUAUACAAUCUCAAUUAUUCAAGUUAUAAUGGCUUGGCGAUUUCCUACAAUAGUCNNNNNNNNNNNNNNNNNNNNNNNNNNNNNNNNNNNNNNNNNNNNNNNNNNNNNNNNNNNNNNNNNNNNNNNNNNNNNNNNNNNNNNNNNNNNNNNNNNNNNNNNNNNNNNNNNNNNNNNNCCACAACGAAAAAUGAUGCAAAAACCCUAGAUUAAACGCUCCUCUCUCGAGCUAAUGAGUAACCUAGAGUUUUUUCUAAGCGACCUAUCAAUCUAUGUUCCUCUCGGAGCCACAAAUCAAUGAUGAUGAUUCAAUCAAGAUGAUCAAACGAGAAUGAAUAUGAAAUUAGGUUUAGCAAGAACAAGAGAUAAUCCUGAAUAACAUCAAUAGCAAUAUCAAAGGUUUAGAAACUCAUCAUCCAUUCAAAAGCUAAGCUAAAGUUUCAUCUAAUCCAAACAACAUAAAAAGUUUAGCCGCUCAUGGUUUUGGAAAAUAAAUCACAAGAGAAGAGAAGAAAAACCAGAGAAGAUGACAACGUUCUUCGUGGAAAUCCCCGUCUUCAACUUGAUGAUAUGCCCUUCGCCAAUCGUGGCUGAUCCUAGUGGUUGAUCCUCUCGCUUCAAUCGCCAUUCUGAAACUCUAUCUCUCUCUAAGAGCUCGAAUAUAUAUGUAUAAUGAAGUAUAUAUCGUCCAUAGGGGGUCUCGGGGUAUUUAAAGGCUUCUAGGCCAAGUUAGAGAAGGAAAAGUCUGGAAAAACCCGUCUGAAGAAGGGACACACCAUGUCCUAAAAGGACACGCUGUAUUCCUAAAGGACACAGGCGUGUUCCUCCCAACAAACGCUCUCGGGAUGCUUUCUACAGAAAAGGACACGCGGUGUUCCUUAAGUAUACAUAAUUUUACCAUAGAGUCAACAUAAAAGUUGUAAACAUUCAAAUUAUCUUUCCAACGAUGCUGACCUUGCAUCAAUUGGACUUCCGAGCGAUGAGUUAUGCUCAAAAUACUAAACAGUGACGUUUUCUUCCCAAGUCGAACGUUUUGAGUUGUUCCGGCCUCCCCGUCAUGUCUUAGUUCAUCUCUAAAUGUCACAUGACAUCUGAAAUGCACAAAAAACAUACCAAACACCAUAACACGGCCCGAGGGGCAAGAGAACCAAACAAGUACUCAAAAUCCUGAAUUUGAAUACAUUUCGACACACAAAAAUAUAGUUUAUAACGAAAAAAAAUGUGUCAAAAAUACAGCACAUCAAAAAUACACUGUCAAAUGUGUUUGAGGGGCGAAAGUGGUAGGUAAGAAAGUGACCUUUGAAGUAUAGAGCAUUCACCAAGACUAUCAUUGUCGAUGGGGUUAUGUCUCGAGAGUUAACGAUGUUAUCGAUGCAUCCUUUGGUUGAUUAUUUUGACCAUGCAUUGAUUUUCUUGGCUGCUUUCUUAGGCUGCAAAAUCAACAUAAUUAAAUUUUUCAAAACCUUCGUCCCACAAACCCAAUCAACACAAUGACCGAACAUAUUGUUUAAAUUGAUCGAUCACUAGGCAAUUGAAUCGGUCGAGGAAUUCGAUAGGAAAAUAGUAUAGGAAACAUGAAAACAAAUAAAAACCAAAUAUGUACGUACGACCUGGAAUUCAAAAUCGGCAGUGUUGGUGUCGGCCUGAUAGACAUCUUCUUUAAUGAUUCACUCAAUGAGUACUUCUUAUCCACCCAACCAACGUUGGCACGGUUUAUAACUGGCGGCUCGCUUUCCUGUCGAGCUAAGAAGGCUCUUUCUCUGUCGUUUUCUAGUGGUAGAGCUUGACGCAAGCCUUCCAUGAUCACUGAAGCUUUGAAAUUGAGAUCUUCGAUGUCUUGUUCUCCAAGGAAACUUAGCAACUGGUCUAGGGUUGGCCCUUGGGCUUUGCAAGCCACCAUACAGAGCAAGAUGUCGCGUGAUGCCAGAGACAUGACGGUGUUUUUCACAGCGGGAACACCAUCGUCGGCGUUGCGUCUCUUUAUGGUGUCGAGUUCGCCUAGAAUUGUCUCUAUGGGCACGCGGAUUGAGAAGUCCAUCUUUUGAUUUCAGUUGUCGGUUUAAUUCCAAUGCAUGAGUUUUACUUUAGCCCUAGCCCUAGGUUGAUAUAUAUAGGGUUAUUUAAUGUGGCAUAUUUACCCUAAAUCAUAGCUUGUGCGCCAAGAAACAAAAUAUAAUGGAACAAUUAUAUCUUCCGGUGAUAUGAAAGGAAAUUUUGAUAAUAAAAAUACCGCAGACAAAAAGGAAAAGGCAGAAAAAUAAUUAAAUUAAACCAAGUAAGAGCUUACCACUGUUCGAUCCACCAACUAAUUAUAUCUUGUUUAUUGAUUAGAUAAUUAACGAGUGGAAGAUUAUGUUGACAUGGAUGGUGGCGCUGUCAACCACCCAACUGGUCUCCUGGGUUGUCAGGUUGACCAAAUCUUCAUCGUAGACAAGCAUGAGCUCCUUAACAACAUUUGCACUAUCACUGUCACCACCUCUAUUUUGCCUAAGUUCUGGGUAAAACCUCAAGAUGUGUCCCUUCUGCUUGUAGUUGUGACAAGUGAUUUUUGCAUAUUUGUUAGACUUCCCUCGGAUCUUCCCUUGCUUCUUUGAGCCUCUCGACUCACUCCUUCCUCUCCCUACCACAAUUAGAGCGUCUGACUGUGAUGAAGAGGAAGAGGCACCUUGAGAUCCUCUUCGCAUCUCCUCAUUCAGAAUUCCGCUAUUGUCAUCCUCCAUGGUGACAACACCAUCUGCGGCAAAGCUUGUGAUUGCGAUACACUUCUAUCUCCAUAUUGAACUGGACUCUUAUACCACUAUUAGGGCGUAGCAGGCGCAAAUGGAGUAAAUAUAUUACACUAAUAAACCACACACCGUAAAUAUUUCCCAGGCAGGUUGGAAAUGGCGGUAGUCCGCCACACUUAAAAUCAUUAUGGAUGAGUGAUUACCACCUCAAUACCAUAAUGGCAAUAAGUAAGUCAACCUCCUUAGACCAAUUUACUAUGAUAAUAUUAAUAAUGCAAUAUACAACGACUUUCUCGAAAUUUCCAAGCACAAAACGGUAAGUAUAUGACACCGGGAUUUACAUAGUUCCCCUCCAAUGCGGAGAGUACAUCUAUGGCAGCAGCGACAGCUAUGAGCACUUCUUCACUAAAACAAGGUAGCUACAACGCAAUCCGAGCUGAUCCAAAAAUAGUCUCUCAAGUGUUUCCCAACCCCGAAACAACUAUCUCACUAUUUUUAUCGCUCACAAUAAAGUAUUCCUAUCACGGUAAAACAUUUACCAAGACUUUCUACCAAUCAUCUAUCUACCCAAAUUAAGAAUUUCUCUCAAUGAAUGAAAUGAAAAAGAACAACACAAAGAAAAAGAAAAGAGAGAGACGUGUUUGAUAAGAGAAGAGAUGAGAUAUGGGAUACUCGAAAUGAAAGCUCUUGCUUCCAUUUUAUACAUACUUAGAGGGGAAACAAAUUGAAUGCAAUUGGUUUAAUUUCCAACUCCCAACCAAUUUUUCGGUGCACUCAAUUGUGGCGGGGGGGGGGUUUUUAAGUAAUUGAGCCGGGAACAACACAUCAUAGAGGAUUGACUAUCGAUCCAAUGAAGAUUACAACCUUGCUAUGUUUCUCCAUUAUCAAGAACAUGAAAGGAUGGUCUGCAAUAAAAUCAUCCACCGGUUCUCUUCGCCAUUCAGAAGAAGCAUAACCUAUAGUAGUUGAAACAGUGACAGCUUCAGCCUCUGUACCUUUCUCAUCCACCUGAAUAAAAGCACUCUGAAUUAUCUUAAAAAUAGCCAUCGGCGGUAUCUCAUUAUCGGAUAGUCAAAACAUCCAGGCGAAAUCCCUUUUGAACCCAAACGACAUCGUGAGCCCCAACUUUUGCAUAGUCUCCUUCUGCUCGCACCUGAGGGAGAAUUUCCACUUGGGGAUGUGCACUCUUCUUAGGUAUUUUUCCUCUAGCUUGCCAAGUUUUUGUGAAAUUUCCUGAUCGAGAUUCAAGCUGCCAUUGCGUAACAUCUUAGGAAGCCGAUCACGCUCCAGGGGAAGGACUAUGUACAUAUCGAACUGUGGGCUUUGAUCAUUCUGGGAUUCAUAGGGGAGCUCGAGGAUUUUGAAGUCAUCGAAACUCGCAUAGUAUAGAGUGAGUCUGAAGUUGUUCAUGAAGGGAACAGUGACCUUAUUGUUGGUUCCGUUGAGGAGGUGGAAUACAUCGUCAAAUGUGGGUUAAGGGGUAAAAGAGGUAGGUAGGGAAGUGAUUUGAAGUAAAGAGCAUUAGCGAGAAUUAUCAUUGUGGAAGGGUCAAUGUCUUGAGAGUUAACGAUGUUGUCAAUGCAUCCUUUGGUUGAUUCUUUUUCCCAUACAUUAAUUUCCUUGACUGCUUCGCAGGCUGCAAAUUAACACUAUAAAAGAGUUAAAAAGAUUUUAGAGUAGACUCAGUCAAUACAAGAUAGAAGAUAGAAAAUAACACGAUAUUGGUGUCCAUUUCGCGGGGUGUGCUUGAUUCAAAUCCAAAAUUCCGGAUCACCAAACACACAACUCUACCACCGAAACAAAUCCGCUUAAACACACCAUUUCUAAUUUCAAACCUUCCGUGUAUACAAAAUCUAAUCAACAAAUCAUUAACAAAAAAGUCAAAACAGUCACUUAACUUUCGAAUAAUUAACGAAAUAGUUUUCCAUUGCUACCCAUAAGAAUAAUAAUAAAUAUUUAAAGUAACAUGUCAUAACAUUUAGAUCUAAUCAAACAAGGUAUAUAUUUAUUGUUUGUUUCUAGUAUUUAAAUUCUAAUAAGUGACUGCUUUGUUAAUUGCAUCAAUUAUAGCGGCCGGUUUCAUAAUUAACUGUUAAUCAAAAGCUGAAAAGAGAAUACUAACCUAAAUGCUCACUUAAUUCCCAAUAAUUAACAAAACAGUUUUUCCAUUGUUACCUGGAAUUGGAAAUCAAAAUCGUUGGUAUCGGCCUAGUAGACACCGCUAACCACCAUUUUGAAUGAUUCACUCAAUGAGUAUUUCCGCUUCACCCAAACCGCAUUGGCAGGGGACACGAUUCCCUGCUUGCUUUUCCGACUAGUGUUUUCCUCGGGUGCGGAAAGACGCAAGGCUUCCAUGGUUGCCGAAGCUUUCGAAUUGAGAUUUCGAUGUCUUGGGUUCCAUGGAAACUUAGCAACUACUCUAGGGUUGGGCCUUGGGCUCCGCAUGCCACCAUACGCAGCAAGAUUUCGAGUUAUGUCGGGGACAUGAGUGGGUUUUUCGGGGCAGCGACACCAUCCCCGAGCUCAUGGAUAAUGGUCGCAAUAGCAACACGGUUUGAGAAGUCCAUCAUUUUCCCUCCUACUUAUUGAUUUAAGGCUAUGUAAGUUUACUUCAGCACUAGCUUGAUAUAUAUAGGGUUAUUUAGUGUGGAAAAUUUAUACCGAGCCUAACCUUAGCCUUGUCGGUCAACUAACAAAUAUUACAAAAAAGGAAAAAAACUCUAAAAUCUCACGAAGUUUGGGCAUAUGUCGAGAAAUAACACCAUGUUUUCGAACUAGAUUUUCUAUCAUGUGGUAUUGAUUUUUUUUACCAAAAAUGUCAUGUCGUUAGUUUCCGCUGGAUGUCAUACCACGUGGACCUGACGACAUGAAGUGAGUGACCUAAUGCGCCCUGUUGUGAACUCCACAUAGAUUAUAUUUAUCUUUUCAGUUAAUACAUGUGGAACAUAGACCAUAUAAAUACACAGAUCCACAUGAAACUCUAAUUUCUAUCAUGUGUCUUCAUUCAUUCUCCCCUUCUCAAUAUCCAUCGCCAUCUUCAUUUUCCCAUCCCCUUAAUCUCUACCACGCGCCUCCUUCAAUGGGAUCUACCAACAAUGGUUCUAGUGGUCGGAAAUCAGUGACCACCUCGAUGGGAUCAAGUUCAAUUACGUGUUCCCACAACGUGGAGGCCGUUCUGAAGAUGGGGACUAUUGCAAAGAAUCAUGGCCAAACCUUCUUCCGAUGCCCGUUCUGGAGGACUUCUUAUUGUGGGUUCUUCGCAUGGGAGUCCGAUUUUUCCCGAUUUGAACUAGAGGCUACAGUUCCUGACCAAGGCGUUGUAAGAAGGCUUGAAGAACCACUAAUGAGCUUGCAAUGAUCUGGUUUUACAGGAGAUUAGGAGUGUAAGGAACAAGAUUAAAGGGUUUGACAACUGAAUCACUCUUGUUCUUGGUAGUUUGUGGGUUGUUGUUCUAUUGGUUGCUAUUAGUUGCAUAAUUUGUUAAUUGAGCUUGAAUGUAAUGUAAUUAGUUGGGCGUUUCUUACUGGCACACCAAUGUCAUUUUCUUCUUUAUAAUGUUCACUGCAUAGCACGUACUAGUUAUCACAGCGCAUCUGAAACAAAUAAGUAUACAACAAUGCAUGGAAAUUGAAGCAUUCACAAAAACAAAAUGAGGAACACUAGGUACGUGUUAACAUAAAUACCAUCCGUGCUAUGAUCAACAUUGGCCAAAAGAAUUGGGAUCUAGGAACAAACCAUAAGUACUAUGAUCCCAGUGACACCAACUUAAACCUGACGUAAGUAUCUUCCACAAUACCACCCUAAACGUACAACCUUGUCCAAAAUAACAUGGUUCCAGAAACAUAGCAUCCAUUCUGAGAUACCCGAAACAUAACAAACAUAAAUAGAUAGGUAACAUUCAUUCACACACAUGGAUGGAUGUAACAAAAUGUUUUCAUAUUCCUACUCCGAUGGCUGAGACUGGGGUGGCUGGGAGCCCAUAGCCUAAAAUUCUUCCUGGUUUCUUUCACAAUUCCGGUUGUUGUGUUGAUGUGUGCAUUGAGUCCUUAUUGCAAGUGAAUAUAUGCCUGCAAUGCCCUCCUUCUGAUCGCGGUUCUAGAGUUUGGAUUGAUCUGAUUCUACAACAAGAUUACCAAGUUAAUACUGCUUGCAAUUGAAGCAAAAAAAUAGAGUAUUAACUAUAUUAAUGAGACCUUAGGGCCGAUAAGCAGCGACGGGAAUUAUGCCUAGUCUGACCACACUUCCCGCAUGUCAUGGUGUGCUUGACUGGCCUGCUCUGAACCUUUGGAGAUCGCUCUCUUGUCCUCCUCCUAUCCUUGAUCCACCAGCUUGGCCAUCUGCUUCCCCCGUAGGGAUAUGUCCUUCAAAUGCUUCUUGCACUUCAGCUCGAUUUUAAUAGUUUCGACUGUUAUGACCUCAAUUCCCGCCUUUGUGACAGUGAUUAUGAAUCCCUCUCCUACCAAGUACCGUACCAACCUCACUCUUGGUUGUCCUAACUUCAAGCUCCUGUUUUUCCUUACGCCUUGCCUUCUUUGGCCUACCUGGUAGGAUCCUUGUGGUUGGAGGGUGGAUAACCAUACCUUCAGUCGGUUCCCAAGCUUGUUUUCCAGGUAGAGCUGGUAUUUCACCAAAGCUGCAUGCCUUCUUUGCAAAUGCUAGAUAAUGCUUAGCGGUGUAGGUGUACACAUCCUUGCGCAAACAUGAACAAGUUGUUAUUGCGUGCACACAAGGAAUGCCAGAUACAUCCCAGUAUCCACAAGUGCAUUUUCGCUUCCCAAGGUCAACAACAUAAUCAUAGUCAUUGAGUUUGUAUUCAGCUACAAGGAGUAGAGUUUGCCUAACAACGCAGAGCCUAGCUAUCGACUUUCCCUUCUCAAGUUUAGCAGCAAUUCAGGGACAGAUGAGCCGUUCCUUAGUUGUUUAAAAUAGCUUGACUCUAUCAACUAGACAUUUCAUCAUAUAAGUACAGAUUCCUUCUAGCAUAUUGAUAAUUCUAAGUCCUCUCCACUUGACUAUACAUCCGUUAAAAGUUUCACAUAUGUUGGACUCUACAAAAUCACUCUUAGGAACUCUAGACACAAACGCACGGGAAAAUCUCAGGGGAUUCACAUUCAUGAAAACAGUGUAACAUUUAGGAUUGUCACCUAAAUCCUCGAUGCAUUUUAGGGUGGCUAAGUGAAUUUUAAACUCAGCUUCGUUGCAUUCGUACACACAAUUCCAAAAGGCUUUCCGGCUAGCUUGGGACUUGUGAUUGAUUUUCCAAUUAGCAUAGACAUGCUUGGCACAUUUUUGAUGCUCAGCAAGGAAUAACAAAGUUUGUAGGCUCUCCACAAGACCCUGCGGCAGACAUAAAGAUGGUGACAUCAACAAAAAUCCUUCAAAAACAACCUUACAAUGUAAACCGAUAUAUAUCAAUAUCUGAACCCGACAUAGUGAACGUACCUUUUGUUGGUCUGAUAUCACAGACCUACCAAUCCCGUCAAAUAACCCCAACUCCUCGACUAGAAUUGAGAUAAACCAGGUCUAUGAAUAUAUAUUCUCACUCUCCAUAACUACCCAUGUGAUAGAGAACAUUUGAUUAUUCUCGUCCUUAUCUAUGGCAGUUAGGAUCAUCCCUUUCACUUCUCCCUUCAGAAAAAAACCAUCAAGACCAAUAAACCUCCUACGACCAGCCAGAAAUCCUUUAGGGAGAUAGCUGAACCCUACGCAAAUUCUUUGAAACUUCACAUAAUCCUUAUCAGGAACAGGUUCCACUUCUAUCUCAAAUCUGCCUUCCUUAUCAGAUUUCUUCAGUUUCAGUACGUAUGACCUUAACAGUGCGUAGGAGCCCUGCAAGGUACCCUCUAUCAGCUUCUUUGUUUCAUUCCUGGCAUUAGCACAAACCCUCACAGUUACCUCAAGUCCAGUAUGGAUUUUAUUUCAGCACACAACAGUGUUGAAUCCAUAGUACGGUUGAAUUUAAAGCUGGUCAAAUACUGCUUUGCUAUCCAUUUAGCUUGGCACUUCGUAUAUGCAUUGUACGGGGACAAGAAUGUCGUUCCCCCACUUCUUUAAUUGUAUAUGCCUCGUUGCAUCCAAACCAGCUGGCAUAGCAACACCACUUGUACCCCUCAUCUUCACAAACUGCCUCCUUGCAGUUGGCAUUGCUUCUUUUCCAUUUAAUGCUUGCACCCACUGCAAUGCUAUAGUUGGCAAUAGCUUCCUUGAACCGGUUACCAUUAGUAAUUCGCAUCCCUUCUUUAAGUACCAGCUUGAUGUGGUCACAUCGAGGGUCAUAGUAUGGUUGGUCAUCAAACAUCCCUACCUCUUCUCUUUCAACGUUUUCAUCACAUUCAUGGUCUGAUUCAGAAGAGUCCAUGUAGCUUGAAUGUAGGGGAGAAUCAGGAGCAACAUAGGUAUGGUCUUAUGAUUCGCCAUCAUCAUCAGAUCCGUCACUGUCUAGAACGAAGUUUGUAUCACCAACAGGAGUGUCAACAUCAGCAUCAGGCGUCACUGCUUGAAAUGGGUUAGGAUAUGCCUAAGCUCUCUUUGCGGUCUCCUUCGCUGCCUUGGCAGAUUCCCUGGCAUACUUGGUGUGCCAUCCAAAGUGUACAUCUUCUUCUCCAUCUGAAUCAUAACUGGUCCGAGGCCUCAUAAAAGGACCUUAAAUAAACAUGCUUGUAACCCUAGCCGGCCGACAAUGACCCUACCAAGCAGAAUUAAUAAUAAUGUAUAUAGAAUCGCAUUGCAACAACUUGGUAAAGUUAAAGCUGUCCAGGACCGCUAAAACUCAGAAAUUGAAUUGAAUAGCUUUCCACUUUUUUCGUCUAGUCCCUUUUUGAAACAUGUAUAAGAUUCCUUCGAACUAAAGACAACCUACCUUAUCUGAAGCCGAAGACCCCACCACUGUUAAUGGAGCCACCAAACCAGAGUUCUCCUUGAUAAUCCCAGACCCUAAAAUCGCCGACACAAAACUCCAAGUACUGUGAACUAGUAGAACGCCGACAAUGGUAGGUCAAGCGGCUACCGGAGAAUCGAUAUUCGUCGAGGCCUAUCUACUAUUGUAUUGUAACUGUUCUGUCAUCCCAAACCUUUCCAAGAACCCUAAUCGAAAUGUGGAGAGUUAGAUCGAUAACGAAGUCGUCGAUGCCUAUUUAGUGGAAGAUAGUUUAUACAAAACCUUAUCAACCCCUCAACGACAUAGAUCUAUCGUUUCAAAUUAACGGACUAGAUUCGUUGUUGUUAUUGUCCACGUGGUAAUUAUAUUACGCUUAACUGGAAAUGAUGAAAAUCCACGUCAGCGGUCAACGCCUGACAUGGCUUAGCUGACCUCAAAUCGGUUAACGACAUCUAGCGGAAACUAACGACAUGACAUUUUUGGUGAAAAUCGAUACCUCAUGACAGAAAAUAUAAUUCGAAAACACGGUGUUAUUUCUCGACGUAUGCCCAAACUUCGUGACAUUUUAGAGUUUUUUUGCCUACGGAAAACGAUUAUAGUCCAGCCCAUUAUUAUUUUGUUAAAAGUGAGUUGGGCCCAACAAACUUUGAAAGGCUUUUACAAAGCCCAGAAGCCUAAAACCAGGCAGGCUUAUCCAUUCGUUAGUGUGAAAUAAGAAAUAUAUAUUUCUCAGCAGCAGCAUCAUCCAUUUUCGACGCUUUGAUUCCUUCCUAUCUGUAACUAACAACCUCAACAUUUUUACUCUGCUUCAACUUCCGCCACCGAUCUUUGCUGCUUCACAUUUCUGCUCCCGUUUGCUACAGAACAAGCAGCUUCAACUCUUUCGAUCGAUGGACCUUUUUCUCAGGUUUCAAGCUGGUAUAUUUACAUUUGUUUGCAGUUUCGGAUGAUGAGUUGAUUUGUGUUCUUUAACUGGUGGUAUAGAUUCUUCAAGUCUGGCUUUGUUUUUUUACCAGCUGGUCAUGAAUCCUGAUUCUUUUUUCCCUUCGAUUUGAAGAUCGGAAAUGCAUUUAUAAUCUGAAGCUUGUAAUUUUGUACGGUCGCUUGGGAUAUUGACGGAGAGUUGAAGGCAGAACGGAUUUGGAAACUAACUACGGUAAGUAAAUCUUCAUAGUCAGGUUAUCAAUUGAAUUCGCAGUAGAACCUUAAGUUGAUUUCAACCUGCCAGCUUAUGAUCGAUAGAUUUCAGGGAUUGUUGAGAUUCGAACAUCCCGACUAGCCAUAAUGACGAUUAAGAGCAUUUGAUAUUCUCGAAGGCAAUGAAAGAGCUUCACAGGUACACACUUUCCAUCUUUUCUUUCUUGAGGUUUGUGUCUCAAUCUUGUUUUCUUAAUAGUAUUUGUUGGUUAAUCUUGAAUGCCAAAUGAUUCUGUGUUUUUAAAAAGGUUUAUCAAGCAUUCAUAAGCAGACAUAAGUUGAUAUUGUAGAGAUUAGACAGAAACAGUUUCUUUUCAUUAGAUGGUGAUGAUCGGAAUUACAACCAAGUUAACAAGACAACUACAAGGGAAGAGUUUUUUCCAUAUUGACUAAAACCCGCCCGGCAAAGGAAAAAAAAGACCAGGGAAGAUUAAAAAGGACUGAAAUUGAAAACUAGUUCCAGCUCUGACUUUGAAAAUUAUAAGCUGGAACUCUAGUUACUUGCUUACUUCCUUUACUAGACACUUAUCUGUCCUGUCUAUUGACUCUAUGUAUGAGAUUAUCCACUACCGUCGUUCCCUCCUGUACUUGGUUCUUCAGUUGACUACCCCCCAGAUUUGGUUAAGAGAUCUACUUGAGCUAGACGACUUCCUCCACCUUGCUAACCGCAACAAAAAUGUCAAAACUUCGGAUGGAUCAACUAGGGAGUGAGAUGCCUUGGUUUCCUUAGGGCAGGAUGUUACUAUAAUCGGGUACCCUGUUCCUCUUCGUUGUAUUACCUGUGAUAAUAAAAAAUUCCAAGAUUUAACCAUUUUAGCAUCCUUGAAACAAUGCAGUAAGUUGUGGGUUUGUACUUCACAUACCUUGAAAGCAUCCUCAUCAGUUCGGUCAUCUCCAAUAUAGACUGGAAUAACGUCAGAGUUACUUAGUCCUAAUGUUUCUAAGAAAUAUUCCACAGCAUGACCUUUGUCCCACUCUAUUGUUGGCCUUAUUUCCAUAACCUAAGGGUAAAGAUAACAAGUGUUAGGGGUACUAGAUAGAAGGAUGUAAUUACUAAUAGUCUAAUACAGAUAGUUGCAGCUCAAUGGUGUUUGCGUUACCUUUUUACCCCAGCACAAGUGAAAGUCUGCAUACUUUUCCAGCACAGACUUAACUUUCUCCUCCAGAGAUGGAUAAUCCUGAAUUCGAAAACCAACCAUCGUCUUUAUUAGCCUACCAAUUUACAUUUCAUAUACGAACUCCUUAUAGUUAAAUAUAAAUUAUAGUGACAGAGUCAGGGGGUUAACCUCAUCAUUGACCUGCCGGAAAUGUACAGAGACGCAGAAGCGGUUAUCCUCCACCCUGGCACCUUUCACUUUUUCUGUUUCCUCCUCCAGCUCUUUCAAUAUCUAUUAAAAGAAUUGGAUAGAGUUAUAGCUAGGAUCAGAACAAUGGAUGCCGUCUAAUUUUAAAGACAUCAUCAAUAUCUUAAGCGUUCUGUUUUAGCUUUUUUACCUUCUCAAUUGUGGGCAAAAAUCUCUUUGCAGGUUGGAAGAGCACUUCAGUUCCCUGACAAAUUGAGCAGAGGCAGAGGCAUGUAAUUGAUUCGAAAUCACAAUCUUGUUUUGAAAGAGGACAUGGAAAAUCCUCUGGUUCUACUCACCUUUUUGUCCAUUACCAAAGUUGGGGAAUGGCCGUCACAAGACUUAACCGGCCUUGGGGGUGCCAUGAUGUCCAUUCCAUGGCUCCCAGCAUAAUAUACAUUGCUCAACUGCACAAAUUCUUUCACCUUCACAAAUAGAAAGAAAGCAGAGACUCUCAGAGUUGGGAUCAAGAAGUGAGCAGAUACACCACGGCCAAAACGGUUAGUACUCUUUUACCUUGUCUAUACUUCUACCACUGAUUAUAGCAGUUGGAAAGCAUUUAGCAACCUCACGUACAGCUGCACGCAUCUGUACAUAUAUAGGAUAGAGAAUCAGUUCAGUAUAGAAUUGAAUUUUCCUUCAAUGUUUUACUUAUUUCAUUCUCAGAUAGCUAAAGCCAUGAUUUUUUUUACCUCUUCAGACAUGAAAGCCAAGUUAGGAUCAUCUACAAUAGGGGAGAGUGUUCCAUCGUAGUCCAAAAAGACGAUGAUCUUCUUCCCUUUCGCUGCCUUCAUCAUCUGAUCAAAUGAGUGCAAUGCAGAUGGGUGCUCACCCUGACAGGUUGAACAUCAAAAGUAAAUCCACAUAAGCUUCCAGUUAUCUUAUAGUGAAGGUGAGUAGGAGGAAACUUUACUUACCACCCAUGAAGUAUAGUUAACAUCUUCAAUAACCCUAACAAGCCCUGAACCAGGCAUUGUCUUGGUGUUAUUUACAGGAGGGUCGCUGUUGACCUGUCCAAGUUUCUGCUUGUUGUUAGAAGGAGAUCGCUGAAGUCCCAUUGCUUGGUUAAUCCUGGAGAUGUUCCUCUUCAACAUACCUACACAUAAAUAGCAAACUCUGGCGAUUGUCAGCAGUCAUAAAGAAACGACAAUGACUGUUAUUAAAAACCAUUACUGUAUUCCUUCAACAAAUACCUGAAAUCGACAUGUCUCCGGCUGUGUUUUUUUGGGGUUAUAUUAUGAAAGCUGGUAUUUAGUGCACUGCCGCCUUCUUUUUAUUUACAACAAACCUGCAAAUGGGAUUCCACAGUCAGCCGCCGCCUGAACAUGAAAUUACACUUCGGAUGUGGCAAAGUUGGUGUCACGGUCUUUAAAGCAUAAUAAUCUACCGGCUGACGCAAAACAGAAACCAUCAGUAUACUAUUUUAUACAAUAACAAACCCACUAACAAGCAACUUGCUGGCGAGUAAUAAUGCAACAAGUUCUUCAUUAAACUUAAAGAGUGGUCGCUUUCUGAAGAUUAUAUAGUUAAAGAGUGAGAGAAAGGUCAUUCUCAGACUCUGUACUUUUUCAAUCCCCAUAUAAUAUUAUCCACUUCAGAAGACAACAAAGAAAUACAACACAGAAAGACAAAGACGAGUUAGAAGGAUUGCUUUACAUGCAUAGGCAGAAGCCAAUUAUGUAUGAAAAAAAGCUUAGCUUCUGUGUAGGCAAAGUAGGGUCGUUAAUCCAUCAGCCUAACCAAAGAUUGACAGCGAUAUAAGAGCUAUAAGCUAUUAAGUUAGUGCGUGCUCAAAUGUUGAGGCAAAGAAGCAAACACAGUCAUACAGAUAUAUAAAAUGUUACCACUUUUUUCCUUACACGUCACACAUAAGGAAAACCAGACAAAUUCUCUAAAGUAUCUUACAUUAUCUACUAGUUCCUCACUGCCUCCACUCUUAUCUUAUCAUAUCAUAUCAUACCCCCCUUCUAAAACUGUCAAAAGUCAACUUUUUUCUUGCCUUUUUUUUCACUGAGGAUGAUAAAAACUGAAAGCUCUUUUUUUAUACUGUGGCAACAAACAAAAGACCAACAACGCACGCGAAAAGCUGAAGACUUUACACGUCCACCUGUAACUUUCGAACCCCCGCCUGAGCCGUUAUCCACAUGAUCUUUAACGAACAAAAGAAAGCUACUUUACUAUCAGGAUAAUCGUGAAAACUUUCGCUUCUGAUGAUUCUGACCACUACUUUUGAACAUAAUACCACCCAUUUCUAGUUACAAAGUUGAAACAACACCAGCUCUGCUGUAAGAGAACGCCGACGACGACUCUUUAACAGAACCUAACUGAUCAUUCCACACACCUCGACUCCAGAAGGUCUUCGAUGGAAAUAAGAGAGUUUCAGUCAGCUAUAUUCUGAUACGUAUGUAUAUGCUACGAAUACUUACAUACAGUUAGUUAAUAGGGUUAAAGACAUGACAUGAGUUAAUAAUAAUAAAAGGUAUACAAGGUCCACUUGCACACAGUCAUCAGAUCUCACGUGUCGGCUACUGGGAAAUGCAUGGCUAAGAAAGAACUUCACUCACACAGUUCCCUUUUUGUUUUUUGUUUCUCUAAACAUCGAGUAUCGUCGACACGUUAAGAUAUAAUCUCAAUUUAAAAAUAGGUUUUGGGAAAGUGGUGACAGACUGACAGUGUCUCUCGCAACCAGACAGAAAAAGGGACAGAAAUGUCAAUUCAGUUACCAAACCAUAUGAAAAAGGUUUCUAUUAAACUUUGCAUUUGAUUAUCACCAUUACAAUAAUUGCAGACAGUUCCCCAGUGGAGAAAACAAGGGUGCUCUUUCUUUAUACUUGUAACAAUAAUUGAAUGAUUAAGCUUAAUGAAUUAUUAUCAAAUAAUUAAUUGUAUUUUCAAGUUAUACGUUAAAAGCUGACAGCUUUUAAUUUUAAAUAAAAAAAUUAGUUAGGUCGAAGAAAGGUAUAGCCAAUGCAUGUCUUUAGGUGGUGACACUUUUCAAUUGGUGUUCAUAAAAUACUUUAUUAACGCAACAUUGUUAGUCCAUCCUCUCCGUAUUCUAAUCAGUAAUCACUCAUUCUUUCGUUAUUUUCUAUGUUUUCAGUUUUUUAAAUUGUUUUUGUCCCACUAAUCUUAUUCUGUACGACUACAGAUACCAUCACUUAAUUAUUUGAAGUAUACCAACCCAGCCUAUUACGCGUUUAGGUGUCACUAAUUUUGCCCUCAUAAUUAGCAGAACAAACUAGCCUGGCCAGCAUAGCUUAAUUUCUUCGAGGCAAGGUUAGUAUUUAGAUAACUAGACAGUGAUGCCUAAAGACUGAAAAAGAAAACCCAGAAAUGACAGCACAGAGCAAAAAAGAACUUCUCUAUAACCGUUUCUUUACCAAAACUGUGCACUUGGCUUAAUCUCCAUCGCCAUCAACGAAUGGGUCCAAAAACUACCAAAGCUUUUCUUUUCUAAUUUUAACGGAAGGGACUCACAUGGUCGGUUGGCUGUAGAAUCCCGACCGUCCACGUGGCGGUCAACUUAACGUAUCUGUCAGUUCUCCGCCAUUGGAUUUUAAAAACCCAGGUAGAGGUUAGUUGGAAACGACUUUAACGACCAGCACUGUGUGUCAAGUGUCGGUUGGGCCUAAAAUGACAGGCCCAGUCAACGUAUGGGCCCUUCCAACCGACACGUGUACCACCCGCGGCUGAAAAGACCCCCCACGAUGACCGAAGCAAAUAAAAACUGCAGGGGAUGAAAAACAAUAAAACGGAAAGGAAACUACGAACUAGGCGCGUGAAAGGCAACUCCAGUAUGGUAAUUUUCCCACGCGUUUCCACGCAGCACAAGUCGCGUGGUGGGGAAGAAGGAUCUUCUAGGAAUAGAUAGGGGAAAAGAACAAAAAAAUGAACCUGUAACUGAUUUUUCGUUGAAUUCGCACUUAUUCUCUGCGGACUUUACUACUCGGAAAGGAAAACCAAAAAUCCCCAUUCCCCAAAUAAAAUUAAUUAACUAUUAAUUAAUCCCUACCGAUUUCAAAAAGGGAAUUACUUAAAAACAGUUUGAACCACCGCCGCGAGCUCAAACGGCGAUCUCUCGGUAUCAAAUCUCCGUCAAAAUAGAAACACAAUCGACGAUCUCCGGAAAACAAUAAACAAGCACGAAUGCAGAAGGAGAUACAAACAUGCAGCAAACUGUACGGAAAACGAAUCCUCAAUUUGACGGAAAUCAUCGAACAAAUUAGGUCUACGAAAGGUGACGAGAAGGACUCACCGGAGGUUUUCUGGAUUGCAGCAGCUGGAAUUGAGAGCUCGGAAUGAGAAACACGAGAGCAGCUGGAGCUAGGGGGAGGGAAGGAGGUUCGAAUUGGGAGUGAGGAAGGAAGAAACGGUGAGGAAAUUGCAGAGUGCGAGAAUUGGAAGAGGAGGGAAGGGGAGGAGGAAAUUGAGAGGCGAGGGAGAUUCAUUUAUAUAGGUGAGGGGUUGGGCGAAAGGGAAGAGGGAGGGUUUAGGGAUUUAUGUAAAGUUUGAGGGGUAUAAUCGAUUUUGGGGUCCGUUUAUUUUAUUUUAUUUUAUUUAUUUAAUUAAUUAAUUAAUUUUGUUCUUACCUGGAAUAUUAUUGGAAGGAAAGCUCUUCACUGAUUAUUAUUCACAAGAGCGAUGUUGUCAUUUUUUUUUUCUUCUUACCUUUUUCCUCGUGAUUCGUCUCUACGUAAUUCCACGUCGGACUAUUAAUUAAUUACCUUCUAUUGACCAGAAGACUGGACUCUCAAAUAUUGUCAAACUUUUUAUACAAUACUUUUGAAUUUAUUUAGCUAUUUAAAUUAAUAUUUAUUUUUCAAAAUAACUAUCUGGAGGUAAUUUAAAAGUCG